UUCACUUUUAUUUGCAUAACUCUUACCUGCAGUACUAUAAUAUAUAGCAGAACAUAAAAUUGCAGACUGUACUGUACAGUACAAUCUGCAAAAAUCACAGUACUGCAUAGACAUGAUACAGUGCACGAAAGGAGACAGUGAGGCUCUAUUGACAAGAUGCACAGAACUGUACCCGAAAACAGGUGUGCUGGGGUUAAUGGUGAUUGAUAAACAACUUUAUGAGCUGUGUGAAAAAUCCCUGAAUACACACACUGAAGAGGUGAUGCUUCUGUGGUGGGAAUCAUGUGAUCCCAGCGAAGCUGUGUGUGACUUUUCUUAAGCACAGAAUUACCUCCCUAUGAGCAGAGGCGAUGCCAGCAUUUGACUGAAGCUGAGGCUGUGUAAGCACAUCUCUGCCACUUGCGUUUCUCACCUUUCUUCCAGAAAACAAGGGGAAAACAUCACUCCCAAUCUGAAGUCACCUGCGUUUAUAACACGUCCUCUCUGGCACUGCGCAGAAGGGUCAGUGGCUAUCCAGCAUCUUCCACCCACUCUGGGAAACAUCUGUUUCCUUCCAUACUUCUUGUCUGCCCCGCCCAGCCUUCUCCACCUUACAGGGAGUGGUGCAGAUGGGUCAGGACAUGCCCGGUGACUCCAGCUGCCAUGGAGAGAUCCAGACGCAUGCAACCACAGGCCUCCCUUGAGAAUGAGACCUCGUGGGUCAAUGUCACCACCUGAGACAAGAGCUGCCAUCACUCACCACUUACCCAGUCCAGGUCCUUGGAAAGCCUUCCUUCUCCUCUAGGACAUUUCCUUUGUUUACGGGAGAGAAGACACACUGCAAACCAAAUUAUCAGAUUAAUCAUGCUUUGAACGACAGAGACAAGAAGAAAAGGGUGGGGAGGCUGAGGAGCUCUCGUGGACACCCUGAGAGACAGAUGGCUUAAAGCAGGACUUUGCUGCUGUCACUCUGCCCCAAGCUUUGACUGUGCUCUCCAGAACCGACCUCCUCCUGCGCAAGUGGUUGCCCAGGCCUGCAGGGAUAGGAGCUCCCCUCGCCCAAAACCCCACCUCCCUUGAUUCUCCCCCAGCCAGCCAGCCCCCAACCCUCCACCCCAGCUCUGCCCUGAAUCCUCUGAAACGCAGCCCCCAACUCAGCUGCCACCUGGCCAAGGAAAGGCGGACUGCAGAGGAGACAAGCCCCAGGAACACAGCAUCUGCUUCUCCAAUCCUGGUCGUCGGUGGGCUCAAGUCCUGCCUCCAGACCACUGCAUGCCACAGAAUUUUAACCCCAGCACGACAGGCCUUCUCCACACUGCCCUUGUGUGUUUGUUUUGUUCUGUUCUGUUUUAACUGCGUCCAGCUUUCGCACUUAGACCUGCUCAGAGUUCCUCUCCCUGCUUGUAUCUGUCUCAUCCUGCAGUGCUGUCACAUGUUGGGCCUGAACCCCGGCAACAGCCUACUUGGGCAGCUUUGAUCCAUGCACAGAUGUGACAAUGUUGUCCUCACCCGGGUCAGAGGCAAAGAAGGGGUAAAGGGCAUCGAGCUGCAUUUAGGCCCUGGGCACUGCACUGGGUGUAAGGCAAACACUCAGAAGGAGUCACAGUCCUGCAGCUCCCGGGAGCCAGCAGAGCCCAUGCCCAGCAAGGCCUGCAUAGGGUGACAGCUAGAAUGGGCUGUGGGGACUGUUAGACUAAGAUGCUGAAAAUUAAAAUAAUUGAUUAAAAGAUAAUUAGCAAAAAUAGUUAGUUAAAAGGAUAGUUAUUAGCAGUAUUGUCAUUCUGUACUGAGCUCGUUACCCUAGUAACCAAGCACCAACCACAGAGUUAUAGAUUAACUGAACGCAUCGUCAUGCUGUUCUGCACACUUCGUCCCCCUCCCCCCCCCGAAAUAACCUGUGUGCUAUGUCAACCUUUGUCCCCCUUGUAAGAGACAAAUGACGCUGUGUCAACCAUUGUUCCCUUUAUGAGAGACAAAUGUUCCUGGAAUUGGCAGACCAGGAGCUAUAAUUGGCUAACCACCCACUGUGAAAUGCCUCUGACCUCAAGCAAAGGGGACAAAGGCCCACCUUGUUUCUGUUUCUCAUCGCUAUGUACUUAAUGAUCAAUGAGCUAAUCAUAAAUGAACUAUAAAAAUCAGUCAAAAUUCUAACUCAGUUGCACAGCUUUGCAAAUGCCAUCUGCACUGUGUCGCUGGGCCAGCUAAAAUAAAAGCGCUUCUUUUAGAAA